UACGUAGGGGGCAAGCGUUGUCCGGAAUCAUUGGGCGUAAAGAGCGUGUAGGCGGCUCGGUAAGUCCGCUCUGAAAGCCCGGGGCUCAACCCCGGGAGGCGGGCGGAUACUGUCGAGCUAGAGUCCGGAAGAGGCGAGUGGAAUUCCUGGUGUAGCGGUGAAAUGCGCAGAUAUCAGGAGGAACACCAAUGGCGAAGGCAGCUCGCUGGGACGGCACUGACGCUGAGACGCGAAAGCGUGGGGAGCAAACAGG
rnacentral:rRNA from 1 species